GUUGUUGUGGCUGAGUGGUUAAGGCAAUGGACUUGAAAUCCAUUUGGGUUUAUCCGCAUUGGUUUAAAUCCUGCCAAUCAUG